rnacentral:rRNA from 1 species
GACGAACGCUGGCGGCGCGCUUAACACAUGCAAGUCGAACGGAAAGGCCUGCUUUCCCUUGUGGAUUGCGGGUACUCGCGUGGCGAACGGGUGAGUAACACGUGAGUGAUCUGCCCCCAACUUGGGUAUAAGCCUGGGAAACUGGGUCUAAUGCCCGAUAGGACUGCAGGGUGGUGCCGGUGGUGGAAAACGAUUUUCUAGUGGUUGGGGAUGAGCUCGCGGCCUAUCAGCUUGUUGGUGGGGUAAUGGCCUACCAAGGCGGCGACGGGUAGCCGGCCUGGGGAGGUAGACCGGCACAGUGGGACUGAGAUACCGCCCAGGCUCCUACGGGCGGCAGCCGCGGGGACGAGUGGACGAAGGGGGGAAGACUGAGGCAGGGACGCAGGGUGGGGGAUGACGGGCCUCGGGUGGUAAACUCCUUUCGGCCGCGAGGAAGCCACUUGGUUGGAAGGGUAGUGACGGUAGUGGGAGAAGAAGCACCGGCUAACUACGUG